UGCUCGAUGUCUGGAAACCCUGCCCC
rnacentral:piRNA from 1 species